rnacentral:lncRNA from 1 species
CCGAAGAGGCCAUCAGGUCUCCUGGAACUGGAGUGAUGGGUGACUGUGAAGCUCCCUGUGAGUGCUGGGAAUAGAAUCAGGUCCUCUGCAGGAGCAAGUGCUCUUAAGCACUGAGCCUUGCCUCCAGUGCCAGAAAUACUUAUUCUUAAUUAUCUUCCAAGGAGACUGCAAAGUUUGAGAGCUGAUGGUUUAAAGUGAGACUUAAAAAGAGAGGGAAAGCAUGGAGUGUAUUAUUCUGUAAAAAUAAGUGGAAUAGGAAAAGAAUCCAAAGGAUGCUGAGACCAACCAGAAGGCUUCUUAAAAAUUAAGUCUACAUAGUGUUACUUAGACGAAUGGGCUAUGGGGCAGUGGUUCUCAUCCUUUCCAGUGCUGUGGACUCUGUAAUACAGAUCCUUAUGUUGUGGUGACCACUAACCAUACAAUUAUUUGCUUUGCUUCUGCAUAACUAAUUUUGCUACAGUUAUGAAUUAUGAUGUAAAUAUUUGUGUUUUUUUCAGUGGCCUCAGGAUAUGCAAGUUUAGAACCACCAGUCUAGAAGCUCUUAAAAAUUCUGAAUCCUGGUUGGGGAGAUGCUCUUCCAGAGGUCCAGAGUUCAAUUCCCAGCAACCACUUGUGGCUUACAAUGAUAUACAGUGGGAUUCAUUGUCCUCUUCUGGACAGUGUUAAUCUGUGGCGUCUACUCUCGACCAGCAAGAACGACAUGACCACCAGUUCUUCUAACAGCAGUUUAUUCAGCAUGCUUCAAUCUUCAUCUCUCUCACUUCAUCUUUUUUUCUCCCCCGAACCCUGGGCCUCUCGCUCUUAUAUACUCUCAGCCCCCAUCCACUCACGGCAGGCGACGUCACCUCACCAGGCACGCAGCUUCAGCUAAUCAGGGUGGCAGGGGCACAUCUCCACCAAAUAUGGACUUAUCUACACCACCAGCAUCAUGGUGCACCUGCGCAGCUCUCAUGAUGGUCGUGGCUAUUUUCAGGUGUAUGAGGAAGUCAGGUGCAAGUCAUAAGACUUAGCUGCAGUCCCAGGUGCCAUCUUGGGACUGCUGCCACACCCACUCCUCUCAUCUCCCCCUUUUUUCUUUUUUGGCAGAGAGAAUGUCUGUCUUAGAUUGCCCCCUGCAGCAAUGCCCCUUACCCGUCCUUGGGAGACAAACAGCAUUGGUUUGAUCCCUGUCUUUGGUUGGUGACAGGCCCAAGGAGUCUUAUCCGUCAUUGACUACUUCUCUAUCAUGCCAAGCCACACUUGAGCAGAUUGUCCUGUCUGCAUGCGGCAGGCGCACCAGAAGGGCAGGACGCUGAUUAAUCUAUGGCCCGAUUUUGAUUGCUACAAGCAAGCCUCAUGGGUGAAGGUAGAGGUCUGAUCCCCAGUGUGCAAGCAUAGGGGCCCUACACAAAACCAUCCCUUGGGCUCAUCACCCAGAGAGGUUUUGGCCAGCUCCUGUGUCCUUUUUCCUGGGGGAAGGGAACUAGGACACUGAACCUUCAUGCAAUCAGACGUGCCUUCCACAGGAUGCCAGUAGCAAGCUCCUCUGUGCAGUGCUUAGCCUCGCAACCCAUGGCAUAACGCAGCAUUAUUUCUUUAGAGCAGCAAGCCAAAUCUGAGGAGAUUGUCCUGCCUCCACUGCGGCAAAGGCUUGCGCCACCAUGGCAGAAGUGCGGGCCUGCACACGCUGCACCCAACACAUACACCAAACACACAACACACACACUAUUACAAGCAUACAUCCCAGGGCUCCCAUCAACACUGAGGCAAGGGAUCAGUGCAACUACCAUUCACCCCACAUAACAACCAUACAUAUAAGGGGCACUGCCCAAGGUGGAAGGGAAUCAGGAACACUCCUACAAAAAGGAAGGGGGCCCAUCUAGGUUAGGAGGGUAUAGUGCCAUUGCCCUUGGAUAUACUGGCAGGUCACACCCCUCGAAUCCAGGUAGCAUUAGCUUUAGUAGAUACAGCUGAACACAAUCACUCAUCUGUGAAAUAUUUUGAAUCAUCUGAAAACACAACAAUCCCUUUAGCUGAAGCAGCAUAGAAAAAAAGGCAAUUGUAGUGAAGCAUUAGAUGUAAAGAAUUGAGGAAACACUUGAAUGCAUCAAUGGCAUUGAUUUCAGGAACAUAGACAUAAUUCCCCAAUGCAGCUCUUCAGUUCUCACUAGCGGGAGCAUUCCCAGCCACAGGAACAUCCAUGUCCUCAUAGCUCUGCUUGUUUUGAAUUGCUCUGGUCAACCGUUCUGGGACCCACAGCUGUUGUCGAUGAUCCUGAGGAAACAAACAAACAGACCCUCUCUCCCAAACCAAACAAUUGAUUCACACAUCUAUUUUCCUUUCCUUUCCUCUCUUUCCUUUCCUCUUUCCUUUCCUCUCUUUCCUUUCCUUUCCUUUCCUUUCCUUUCCUUUCCUUUCCUUUCCUUUCCUUUCCUUUCCCUUUCCCUUUCCUUUCCUUUCCUUUCCUUUCCUUUCCUUUCCUUUCCUUUCCUUUCCUUUCCUUUCCUUUCCUUUAACUUGUCCCAAAACCGGGAACCUUAUCGUCUCAAUCCGAGAACUUAAAUUGUCCCACUUACCCGGGAACCUUACCCUGCCAGCAAACACUGACUGCUCAAAGUUCUAAACUCAUUGGUGGGAGAGUCGGUUCUCUGUAUGGGCCACCAUUUGUCGCGUCAGCUCUCGACCAGCAAGAACGACACGAUCACCAGUUCUUCUAACAGCAGUUUAUUCAGCAUGCUUCAAUCUUCAUCUCUCUCACUUCAUCUUUUUUUCUCCCCCCAAACCCCGGGCCUCUCACUCUUAUAUACUCUCAGCCCCCAUCCACUCACAGCAGGUGACAUCACCUCACCAGGCAUGCAGCUUCAGCCAAUCAGGGUGGCAGGGGCACAUCUCCACCAAAUAUGGACUUAUCUACACCACCAGCAUCAUGGUGCACCUGCGCAGCUCUCAUGAUGGUCGUGGCUAUUUUCAGGUGUAUGAGGAAGUCUGGUGCAAGUCAUAUGACUUAGCUGCAGUCCCGGGCGCCAUCUUGGGACUGCUGCCACACCCGCUCCUCACAUUAACCUGUGUAUCUCUGGCAAUCCUGGAACUCAUUCUGUAGACCAGGCUGGCCUCUAACUCAGAAAACUCAGAGAUCCUCCUUCCUCUAUCUCCUGAGUGGUGGGGUUAAAGGUAUGCACCACCACCUGGCUCCUCUAAAUUGUUUUAAGUAUUAAAUUUGACUUAAUUUACUGUGUGUGGGUGUUUUUCUUGCUUGUACAUCUAUACCAUCUGUGUGCCUGGUACCCACUAAGGCCAAAAGAGGGCAUCAAACCCCUGAACUGGAGUUAUGGACAGUUGUGAGCUUCGAUGUGAAUGCUGAGAGCUGGACCUGGGUAGGCUGCAAGGUCAGUCACUGCUCUUAACCCCUGAGCUAUAUCUCCAGCACCUCCAAAGGUUUUAUUUUUUUAAGUGCUAUUUUUAUUAUUUUAAAUUAUGUGUAUGUAUUUGUAUCUGUGUGGAUGUUAUGUAUUUGCAGAGGUGUGAGGGCUGGAUCUCCUGGAGCUGGAUUUACAGGCAUUUGUAAGCCUCCCAAUUUGUGUUGGGAACUGAACGUAGGUGCUCUGGAAGAACAACAAAUGCUCUUAACUGCUGAGCCAUCUCUCCAGCCCUUCUAAAAGUUUCUUGUGUGCUUUUGCAGUCUGUUUCUCCCUUUACCCUGUCCCUAAGCACUGGUGACCUGUAACUGUACAGAGGUUUACCUGUUCUACAAUUUUAUAUAAAUUAAGUCACAUCUCACUCCC